GCCCCUGUGGCCCAAUGGUCAGGGCACCAGACUUCUACACUGCUACCAAGGAUUGUACUAUCUGGGGAUUGCGGGUUCGAGUCCCGCCAGGGGUU